ACGUAGGGUGCAAGCGUUAAUCGGAAUUACUGGGCGUAAAGCGUGCGCAGGCGGUUAUGUAAGACAGAGGUGGAAUCCCCGGGCUCAACCUGGGAACUGCCUUUGUGACUGCAUAGCUAGAGUACGGUAGAGGGGGAUGGAAUUCCGCGUGUAGCAGUGAAAUGCGUAGAUAUGCGGAGGAACACCGAUGGCGAAGGCAAUCCCCUGGACCUGUACUGACGCUCAUGCACGAAAGCGUGGGGAGCAAACAGGAUUAGAUACCCUGGUAGUCCACGCCCUAAACGAUGUCAACUGGUUGUUGGGUCUUCACUGACUCAGUAACGAAGCUAACGCGUGAAGUUGACCGCCUGGGGAGUACGGCCGCAAGGUUG
rnacentral:rRNA from 1 species